UACGGGGGGAGCAAGCGUUGUUUCGGAUUUACUGGGCGUAAAGGGCGCGUAGGCGGCCAGCACAAGUCAGUUGUGAAAUCUCCGAGCUUAACUCGGAAAGGUCAACUGAUACUGUGCGGCUAGAGUGCGGAAGGGGCAACUGGAAUUCUUGGUGUAGCGGUGAAAUGCGUAGAUAUCAAGAGGAACACCUGCGGCGAAGGCGGGUUGCUGGGCCGACACUGACGCUGAGGCGCGAAAGCCAGGGGAGCGAACGGG
rnacentral:rRNA from 1 species